rnacentral:lncRNA from 1 species
UUGUAUAUAUAUUAUGAUUGUAUUUCAUGGCAUAAUUUUCGCCAAAUGGCAAAUAGAAUGCAUUAGGACAAAGACAGUUACGUGACUUUUCACGACUGUCCUUCAGAAAAACACAUUUGAAUUUUUUUAAAGUGAUAAACGAAUAGUUGACUUGUGGUCAUCCAACGUCGUUUAUUAUACUUUAACCUGUAGUUUGUUCGACUCGGGUAACCAUGUCUUGUCUAAACCAUUCUUAGUCAGCUAGUGUAGAGCGAAGCCAAAACCUUAAAUUUAGCGCAUUUGCUUGAGAUGAGUCAACACUCAAGACAUAUUUGUAUAAGACAUGCAUUAAUUGUUUGUACAUUAUGUGAUAUACCUAUUUUACGUGAAUAUGUUGUAUGAUAGUCCAUUAUUUUAAAAUUUCUUUAAGAGCUUCAUAGACAUAAAUAUCUAGUCACUAUCAAGUCACUUUUACCUUUUGAGUUGUUUUUGAAAGCUCGAAGGUUAUUGCUCGUUCGGAGCGACAAGGGACAAGAGAACUCGCAAAAAAUGAGUCUUUGGAUUUCACAAGACAAUAAUAACCCAUCGAAAAGACAAAUAAGGGGAGUCUUUGACUACGAGGUCGCACUCGUCUAUUUUUUGUUAUGUAUUUUGCAUGUUGGUCCUGCUUUCACACAUUUCUAAUAUUUUUGCAGGAAAAUCAUCCCCGACUAUAGUCGGGGAUGGUGAUAAUAAUGUAUAGUUUUUGGGAAUCAUUAGGAGUAUACACAGUUUGAAGAGACAUCCAAAAAAGAAUACAACAAGUGGUUACCGUAGAAAUUUGGAAGCCACAUUCAACAGACAAUGCAAAGAUUGACAAUUAAGAGGAUGCAAAACAUAUUGGUACAAAAAGUCAAAAAACACUUCCUGACUAUUGAUUUCAGUGACACUAGACCUAAGGGGAAUUGCUCUGAGUUUGUCUGAAUCUUUAAAUUAUUUUUAUGUCAUAUCUGAACAAAUUAUGCGAACCUAAUUAUCAUCUCGAUGAAAUAUGUAGGAAACCCUUCUUAGGCUCGGUAUCCAUUUUUUUAAAUUUUAAAAAUAAAAAGUAAUAGUUCGUGCAUAUUUUC